rnacentral:rRNA from 1 species
UAAUAUCAGUAUUGUAAUUUUUUAUAGGGAAAAUAAUUUUAACAUGUUAAUUAAGUAUUUAGUAAAGAAAGGUUGAAUUUGCGAUAGUAAAAAAGUACUGACAAGGAAAUAUGAAAUAAUUUGAAAAUUUUAGUUUUAAAAAAGGAGAUAUUAAUAAUCGUACCUUGUGUAUCAGGGAAUAAUUAUUAAGAUAAUGGAUAUUUAAUUCCCAAAAGAGAAAGAUCUAGAUUUUUAUAAUUAUUUCUGUGUCAUUAUAAUUUUCAAUAAAAAUCUAGAAGUGAAAUAUUAAUCGGUUUCUCUUAUAUUUGGUUCCUUAAGAAUUAAAUUUAAUUUAGACUCGCUUUUAUUUUUAAGUUAUUUAAGAAAUUUAAAUAAAGUUAGAUUUAGGGUUAGAGGGAUUAGCUUUUAACCCAACCAAAAUUUGGUAUAAUUAAUUAAAUAGAAAAAAUGUUUAUAUGCUUAGAAAUAGCAAUCAAUAAAAACAAUGUUAUAAUUUACAUUUUAGAAAUAAUUAUUUUAUAGAGAUUUACUUAAUUUAUUAAGGUAAAGUCUUGAGUAAUUCAAGAUUAGAAAUAAUAUUAUUAUGAGUAGAAAAAUAAUUUAAAUUUUUUGUAAUACUAAAUAUAGCAAAGGAACUCGGCAAAUACAUUUUUCGCCUGUUUAUCAAAAACAUCUCCUUAAGAAUUAAUUUAAGGUAUAGCCUGCUCUAUGAAUAUUUUAAAUGGCCGCGGUAUUUUGACCGUGCGAAGGUAGCAUAAUCAUUAGUCUUUUAAUUGAAGGCUGGUAUGAAUGGCUGGACGAGAAAAUUUCUGUCUCUGUUAUAAUAUUUGAAUUUUAUUUUUAAGUGAAAAAGCUUAAAUUUUUUUGAGGGACGAUAAGACCCUAUGGAUCUUUAUAAUAAUAGAUAAUAAAAAGUUUGGGUGUGACAGCUUAUUAUUUUAAAUUAUUGGGUUGGGGCGACUAGAAGAAAAAGAUAUCUCUUCUUAAAUAAUAUACUAUUAGUAGAAGUAAAUUGACCCUGAAUUUUGGUUUAAAAGACUAAGUUACCCUAGGGAUAACAGCGUAAUCUUUUUGGAGAGUUCAUAUCGAUGAAAAGGUUUGCGACCUCGAUGUUGGAUUAAGAGAUCCUUACGGCGUAGCCGUUGUAAAGGAAAGUCUGUUCGACUUUUAAAUUCUUACAUGAUCUGAGUUCAAACCGGCGUGAGCCAGGUUGGUUUCUAUCUUCAAGUUUUUUGUUUCAUUUUAGUACGAAAGGAUUGAAUGAAAGGGGAAUGUUCAUUUUAAGAUUAAAAUUAAUUAUUUUUU